rnacentral:tRNA from 1 species
GCAUUGGUGGUUGAGUGGUAGAAUUCACACCUCCCAUAUGGGAGACCCAGGUUCGAUUCUCUGCCAGUGCA